GAAAAAGAAGUGUUCUUCUGUCCUUUUUCUGUCACUCAUAUCUGCUGAUGUUCAGGGGAAAUGCAAAGACAGUCAGUCACAUGGAGAAAAUGGACAUGGUACGGUAUGAAGUCUGUAAAGUUUACAGUAUGGUCAUAAAAAACCCGCUGAUGAAUCUCAGUGGCCUGUACCGAAGGCAAGGCAAGAGGAAAGUGUGCUAAAGGAAUACGCCACAAAAUGAAGAAAACAGAUACAGAACAAGAAUCGGCUAUGGUCACGCUGAUGAAUCUUAGUGGCCUGUACCGAAGGCAAGGCAAGAGGAAAGCAGCAGCUGUGCUGAAGGAAUAUGUCACAAAAUG